GCCCUAGUAACGGCGAGUGAAGCGGCAACAGCUCAAAUUUGAAAUCUGGCCCUAGGGUCCGAGUUGUAAUUUGUAGAGGAUGCUUUUGGCGCGGUGCCUUCCGAGUUCCCUGGAACGGGACGCCUUAGAGGGUGAGAGCCCCGUACGGUUGGACACCAAGCCUCUGUAAAGCUCCUUCGACGAGUCGAGUAGUUUGGGAAUGCUGCUCUAAAUGGGAGGUAAAUUUCUUCUAAAGCUAAAUACCGGCCAGAGACCGAUAGCGCACAAGUAGAGUGAUCGAAAGAUGAAAAGCACUUUGAAAAGAGGGUUAAAUAGCACGUGAAAUUGUUGAAAGGGAAGCGUUUGCGACCAGACCUUUUCCUAGCGGAUCAUCCGGUGUUUUCACCGGUGCACUUCGCUAGGUUUAGGCCAGCAUCGGUUUCUGUGGGGGGAUAAAAGCUCGGGGAACGUGGCUCCCUCGGGAGUGUUAUAGCCCCUUGCAUAAUACCCUCACGGGGACCGAGGACCGCGCUUUUGCAAGGAUGCUGGCAUAAUGGUCGUCAACGACCCGUCUUGAAACACGGACCAAGGAGUCGAACAUUUGUGCGAGUGUUUGGGUGUUAAACCCUCACGCGUAAUGAAAGUGAACGGAGGUGAGAGCCCUUACGGGUGCAUCAUCGACCGAUCCUGAUGUCUUCGGAUGGAUUUGAGUAAGAGCAUAACUGUUCGGACCCGAAAGAUGGUGAACUAUGCGUGGAUAGGGUGAAGCCAGAGGAAACUCUGGUGGAGGCUCGCAGCGGUUCUGACGUGCAAAUCGAUCGUCAAAUCUGCGCAUG
rnacentral:rRNA from 1 species